UACGUAGGGUCCGAGCGUUGUCCGGAAUUACUGGGCGUAAAGAGCUCGUAGGCGGUUUGUCGCGUCUGCUGUGAAAACCCAGGGCUUAACCCUGGGCCUGCAGUGGGUACGGGCAAACUAGAGUGCGGUAGGGGAGAUCGGAAUUCCUGGUGUAGCGGUGAAAUGCGCAGAUAUCAGGAGGAACACCGGUGGCGAAGGCGGAUCUCUGGGCCGUAACUGACGCUGAGGAGCGAAAGCAUGGGUAGCGAACAGG
rnacentral:rRNA from 1 species